rnacentral:rRNA from 1 species
GAUGAACGCUGGCGGCGUGCCUAAUACAUGCAAGUCGAGCGAACAGACGAGGAGCUUGCUCCUCUGACGUUAGCGGCGGACGGGCGAGUAACACGUGGAUAACCUACCUAUAAGACUGGGAUAACUUCGGGAAACCGGAGCUAAUAACGGCUAAUAUAUUGAACCGCAUGGUUCAAUAGUGAAAGACGGUUUUGCUGUCACUUAUAGAUGGAUCCGCGCCGCAUUAGCUAGUUGGUAAGGUAACGGCUUACCAAGGCAACGAUGCGUAGCCGACCUGAGAGGAUGAUCGGCCACACUGGAACUGAGACACGGUCCAGACUCCUACGGGAGGCAGCAGUAGGGAAUCUUCCGCAAUGGGCGAAAGCCUGACGGAGCAACGCCGCGUGAGUGAUGAAGGUCUUCGGAUCGUAAAACUCUGUUAUUAGGGAAGAACAAAUGUGUAAGUAACUAUGCACGUCUUGACGGUACCUAAUCAGAAAGCCACGGCUAACUACGUG